rnacentral:hammerhead_ribozyme from 1 species
AUCCAUAUGAAGAGUCCGAAAUGGGACGAAACGUUCGUUCUGGAU